GGGGAUGUCAGUUGAGUUUGGUCCGAUUUUCCUUUCUGCUCUAAUACCACUGAGGACACCACUGUGUUCAAUGCCUCACAAUUGCUGUCCUCUCCCUCCCCCAGUGCCUGGAGAUGCUGUCCACAUCAUGCAGCUGCUCGGGACCACUACGGGCAACUCUCCAUCUAUCCCUCCUGAUUCCUUUAUGGACAACUCUCCAUCUAUUCCACCUGAUUCCUCUAUGGACAACUCUCCAUCUAUUCCGCCUGAUUCCUCCAUGGGCAACUGUCCAUGUAUUCCACCUGACUCCCAGCUAGGCUGCAUCCUCCACCAUUGGAAUCAAUUUGACCCUGACAACCUAAAAAGAAAACUGUGAUGAUUAAUACUGAGUGUCAACUUGAUUGGAUAGAAGGAUGCAAAGUAUUGAUCCUGGAUGUGUCUGUGAGGGUAUUGCCAAAGGAGAUUAACAUUUGAGUCAGUGGGCUGGGAAAGGCAGACCCACUCUUAAUCUGGGUGGGCACCAUCUAAUUAGCUGCCAGCAUGGCUAGAAUAUAAAGCAGGCAGAAAAACAUGAAAAAACUAGAUUGGCCUAGCCUCCCGGCAUACAUCUUUCUCCUGUGCUGGAUGAUUCCUGCCUUUGAACAUCGGACUCCAAGUUCUUCAGUUUUGGGACUCACACUGGCUUUCCUUGUUCUUCAGCUUGCAGACAGUCUAUUGUGGGAUGUGGUGAUCGUGUGAGUUAAUACUACUUAAUAAACUCAUACGUAUAAUAUAUAUCAUAUAUAUGAUAUAUAUGAUAUAUAUAUCAUAUAUAUGAUAUAUAUAUGAUAUAUAUAUAUCAUAUAUAUAUCAUAUAUAUAUAUUCUAUUCAGUCCCUCUACAGAGCCCUGACUAAUACAGAUUUUGGUACCAGGAGUGGUUCUAGAAGAGCAGAAUAUUAAGGCUGGAGUUCUUUCAUUGGUUUUGGGGUUUCUGGAGUUGGCUGCUUAAUAUGAUUAGACCCAAAAAUGCUAAGGACUCUACUUCUAAUAGUAUAGAGAACACUAAUAGUCCUUGGCAUAAACCAUUUAGAGAGUUAUGCAAAAUAAAUGCAUUUGAAAAUCCUGGUUCACUGCUCAUGAGAAGCAAGGAAUUUAGCAACUCUGUACAUAAUACCUUUGAUCGUAUGUGGAAAACCAAGGAACAUAAUAAAGCUGGUC
rnacentral:lncRNA from 1 species